UUGUAAAGAUGACAAAACGUCAUAAAAUAUAUCCAAUUGUUUUCUAUACAGACGUAACUGAAAUAAUAUCAGUUAACUUGGUGGAUUAUUGACCAUUGUUAAAAAGUGUGUGUGUGUGUGUGUGUGUGUGUGUGUGUGUGUGUGUGUGUGUGUAGACAUUUAGCCCUCCCCCCCCAACUAA